AUGAGGAUCACAACCUGGAACUGUCGGGGUUUGGGGAAUGGCCCGGCAGUACGUGGGCUUCUGGACCUCCAGAAGCGGGUGGACCCCGAUAUCCUCUUCUUAUCCGAGACAAAACUGGAUGAGAGAAGGACGCAGUGGCUCAAGUACUUGUUGGGAAUGUCAAAUAUGGUGGUCAAGGAUUGUAAAGGAAAGAGCGGAGGACUUGCUUUAUUAUGGAAGAGGCAUGUGCAUGUUGAAUUGUGUAAUUAUUCGAGAUAUCAUAUUGAUGUAAAGAUAGUGGAGCAAGAUGGUUUUACAUGGAGAUUUACGGGCAUAUAUGGUGAGCCUGCGACUGAUAAAAGGGAUAAAACAUGGGACCUUCUGAGGAUCCUCGAUCAACAAAUUAAGCUUCCAUGGUUGUGUGCUGGUGACUUCAAUGAAGUUUUAUAUUGCCAUGAAAAGAAAGGUGGAUCAGCUCGGGCUACUCGGCAAAUGGAGACUUUCAAGAUAACUUUGGCAGAUUGUGGCUUGCGUGACCUGGGAUACAUGGGUGAAAAAUACACUUGGAGAAACCAUAGUCAUGAAGCUAGUAAAUAUAUAAAAGAAAGACUUGACAGAGUCGUGGGGACCCGAACUUGGUGCAACAGGUUUCCUUCAUAUAAGGUAAUAAUUGGGGAUCCUAGACACUCGGACCAUCGGCCAAUGACCAUUUAUGUAGAGGGCACGGAUAAAGCCAUGAGAAAGCAUGGAGGCCACUGUGGCUAUUAG
rnacentral:rRNA from 1 species